GGGGUGUGCUCAGAGCAGGGGGCCAGAAGAAGUGGCUCCUCUGUUUCUGACACACCCAACAAGGAUCUGGGUUAUUGUGACAAGGGGCAGUAAACUUGUGGCCUGGCUGGCUGUAAAUCAAGGCCCUCCUCGU
rnacentral:snoRNA from 1 species